UACGGGAGGCAGCAGUGGGGAAUAUUGCACAAUGGGCGCAAGCCUGAUGCAGCCAUGCCGCGUGUAUGAAGAAGGCCUUCGGGUUGUAAAGUACUUUCAGUCGUGAGGAAGGUGUUAGGGUUAAUAACCUUAGCAAUUGACGUUAGCGACAGAAGAAGCACCGGCUAACUCCGUGCCAGCAGCCGCGGUAAUACGGAGGGUGCGAGCGUUAAUCGGAAUUACUGGGCGUAAAGGGCACGCAGGCGGUUAAUUAAGUUGGAUGUGAAAUCCCCGGGCUUAACCUGGGAAUGGCAUUCAAGACUGGUUAGCUAGAGUCUUGUAGAGGGGGUAGAAUUCCAUGUGUAGCGGUGAAAUGCGUAGAGAUGUGGAGGAAUACCGGUGGCGAAGGCGGCCCCUGGACAAAGACUGACGCUCAUGUGCGAAAGCGUGGGGAGCAAACAGGGAUUAGAUACC
rnacentral:rRNA from 1 species